rnacentral:rRNA from 1 species
CACGUAGGGGGCAAGCGUUGUCCGGAUUUAUUGGGCGUAAAGAGCUCGUAGGCGGCUUAGUAAGUCGGGUGUGAAACCUCCGGGCUCAACCUGGAGACGCCACCCGAUACUGCUGUGGCUAGAGUCCGGUAGGGGAGCGUGGAAUUCCUGGUGUAGCGGUGAAAUGCGCAGAUAUCAGGAGGAACACCAGCGGCGAAGGCGGCGCUCUGGGCCGGUACUGACGCUGAGGAGCGAAAGCGUGGGGAGCAAACAGG